ACGCUCGACACCUACGGGAGGCAGCAGUGGGGAAUAUUGCACAAUGGGGGAAACCCUGAUGCAGCAACGCCGCGUGAAGGAAGACGGUUUCGGAUUGUAACUUCUGUUCUUAGUGAAGAUAGUGACGGUAGCUAAGGAGCAAGCCACGGCUAACUACGUGCAAGCAGCCGCGGUAAUCUAGAGGCGGGCUGGCAAGGC
rnacentral:rRNA from 1 species